rnacentral:lncRNA from 1 species
GACUGUUUGCAUUGCUCCAAAGGUUUUCUUGAACUUCAAGCGCAUAGGAAACUCGCUUCUUCUUGUGUUGGAAAAUUUUAAAUUACUUUUCAUAUCAAACAUAUACAUACAUGUGUACGUACACAUAUAAACACAAAAAGUCUAAAAGUUAUCUAUUCUUCUCUGAUGAUGCUUAAGUAACCCAAGAUAAAGUAGCACGAUCAGAGGAAAAAACUGGAAAACAUAAAACAUAUCUGCAUA